UUAUGCCCGUUUCAAAAUGCGGUCAAAACGGCGGGCUUGACCGUUCCUAGCUAGUGGUUGAAUAUUGGAAAUUUUUUGAUAUUUCUCUGAUUAAAGAUACUUAUCUACCUAGAAAUGAUUUGGAAAAUAAAUCUCUUUGGAAAAUAAAUAUUACGAGACUACUCUGAACAAUACUACUCCUUCAACUUGUACAUACUCCUAGGCUGUUGCUGUAUGGUUCCAAAAAUCCCAGAUAAAAAUCUGGAUGACAUUUACAUCUGUAAAUACAUACGUAUGAAAUAAGCACCACGGUUCCGUUUAGUGUGUAUGCGUCGAUAUGUUUUAACUUUGACUGAAACAAUCUGGAUGGCACCUGCAUCUGUAGAUAAAUAUGAAGAAGAACCACAGUUUAGUUCAGUUUGUACGUGUCAAUUUGGUUUAACUUUCACUGAAAAUAUAUAUGAAUAAAUUUUGGUUUUAAGGUCCGUUUAAUGAUGGGCUUACUGUCCGACAAUGUUCAUUCUUCAGUUAUCCUUGUUAUCCAUAUGGCCAACCAAGGCGCAUGGUGCUCGCAAGUGACGAAUGGAGGUUGUUCAACAUAGGCACGGAGGAGGAGGAGGACGGGCACGGACGGAGGAGGACAGAGCACCUCUAUUCUUCUAGGUUAGUGAGCAGCAUCAGGAGGAGGAGCUCAAGCACGACCACCAAGAGGCACCAUCGCAGCAGCAGAUGAGUCCGUCGAUGAAGCGGCAGCGUCUCCUCUAGAGGGUGACGGUGGCGGCGGUGCCUGUGUGCGGCUUCGACUACAACCUCCUCUCCGGUGAGUCCAUCUCCUACCUCUAGCUCCAUCUCUAAGCUGCUGUAAUACCAUGCUUUGUUUCAUGACGUGGCUUAUUUAGUCUCUGCUUGCUGUGCCUUGUGUAUUGGAGCCUAAAUAGCUUCUGUUAGGGGAUAAUCUACUGGUUAUACCAAGAUUUUACAUGAAAUUUUGUUCUGCUUAUUCUGCUAAGGUUGUUUGCAAUGGUUAUACAUAUGUUACACAAUUUUUGCUGCUGGCUAAUCAGCUUUAGAGAUGGUAACAUGGUGCUGCACUCUCAGGAUCAUCUUAUGAUACACAAUCAAUUUUUGGUGUGCUCAAAUUUUUAAUUUUAGUGAUAAGGAAAGAUCCUACCUAGUUUGCUGGCUCUCUCACUUGAGUUGGUUUAACAGUAGUGACCUCCUGACUUGUAG